CAAUAGCGUAUAUUAAAGUUGUUGCAGUUAAAAAGCUCGUAGUUGGAUUUGUGGCGUACGGUGUGUUCCGGGCACUUGUUGUCUGAGUAACCUGCUGUUGCCAUCCUUGGGUGGAACCUGUGUGACAUUAGGUUGUCGUGCAGGGGAUGCCCAUCAUUUACUGUGAAAAAAUUAGAGUGUUCAAAGCAGGCUUAUGCCGUUGAAUAUAUUAGCAUGGAAUAAUGAGAUAGGACUUUUUUGCUAUUUUGUUGGUUUGCGCAAGAAGGUAAUGAUUAAUAGGGACAGUUGGGGGUAUUCGUAUUCCAUUGUCAGAGGUGAAAUUCUUGGAUUUUUGGAAGACGAACUACUGCGAAAGCAUUUACCAAGGAUGUUUUCAUUAA
rnacentral:rRNA from 1 species